UACGUAGGGGCCUAGCGUUGUCCGGAUUUAUUGGGCGUAAAGAGCUCGUAGGCGGCUUGUCGCGUCGAAUGUGAAAACUCGGGGCUCAACUCCGAGCUUGCAUUCGAUACGGGCAGGCUAGAGUUCGGUAGGGGAGACUGGAAUUCCUGGUGUAGCGGUGAAAUGCGCAGAUAUCAGGAGGAACACCGGUGGCGAAGGCGGGUCUCUGGGCCGAUACUGACGCUGAGGAGCGAAAGCGUGGGGAGCGAACAGG
rnacentral:rRNA from 1 species